rnacentral:rRNA from 1 species
GACGAACGCUGGCGGCGUGCCUAAUACAUGCAAGUAGAACGCUGAAGGAGGAGCUUGCUCUUCUGGAUGAGUUGCGAACGGGUGAGUAACGCGUAGGUAACCUGCCUGGUAGCGGGGGAUAACUAUUGGAAACGAUAGCUAAUACCGCAUAAUAGUUGAUGUUGCAUGAUAUUUACUUAAAAGGUGCAAUUGCACCACUACCAGAUGGACCUGCGUUGUAUUAGCUAGUUGGUGGGGUAACGGCUCACCAAGGCGACGAUACAUAGCCGACCUGAGAGGGUGAUCGGCCACACUGGGACUGAGACACGGCCCAGACUCCUACGGGAGGCAGCAGUAGGGAAUCUUCGGCAAUGGACGAAAGUCUGACCGAGCAACGCCGCGGGAGUGAAGAAGGUUGUCGGAUCGUAAAGCUCCGUUGUAAGAGAAGAACGAGUGUGAGAGUGGAAAGUUCACACUGUGACGGUAGCUUACCAGAAAGGGACGGCUAACUACGUG